AGAGUUUGAUCCUGGCUCAGAACUAACGCUGGCGGCGUGCCUAAUACAUGCAAGUCGAACGCGAAAGUCUUCGGAUGAGUAGAGUGGCGCACGGGUGAGUAACACGUGGGUAAUCUGCCUAGAGAUGGGGAAUAACUCCUCGAAAGAGGAGCUAAUACCGCAUAAGACCACAGUAUCUAUGGAUACAGGGGUUAAAAGUG
rnacentral:rRNA from 1 species